CCUACGGGAGGCAGCAGUGAGGAAUAUUGGUCAAUGGACGCAAGUCUGAACCAGCCAUGCCGCGUGCAGGAAGACGGCCCUAUGAGUUGUAAACUGCUUUUGUACGGGGGUAAACGCAGAUACGCGUAUCUGUCUGAAAGUAUCGUACGAAUAAGGAUCGGCUAACUCCGUGCCAGCAGCCGCGGUAAUACGGAGGAUUCAAGCGUUAUCCGGAUUUAUUGGGUUUAAAGGGUGCGUAGUCGGUCUGUUAAGUUAGAGGUGAAAUCCCGAGGCUCAACUUCGGAAUUGCAUCUGAUACUGGCCGGCUUGAGAGUAGUUGAGGUAGGCGGAAUGUAUGGUGUAGCGGUGAAAUGCGUAGAGAUCAUAAAGAACACCGAUUGCGAAGGCAGCUUACUAAGCUACGUCUGACGUUGAGGCACGAAAGCGUGGGGAGCAAACAGGAUUAGAUACCCCGGUAGUC
rnacentral:rRNA from 1 species